rnacentral:rRNA from 1 species
UACAGAGGGGGCAAGCGUUGUUCGGAAUUACUGGGCGUAAAGGGCGCGUAGGCGGCCUUCUAAGUCGAACGUGAAAUCCCCGGGCUCAACCCGGGAACUGCGUCCGAUACUGGAAGGCUUGAAUCCGGGAGAGGGAUGCAGAAUUCCAGGUGUAGCGGUGAAAUGCGUAGAUAUCUGGAGGAACACCGGUGGCGAAGGCGGCGAUCCUGGGACCAUGACUGACGCUGAGGAGCGAAAGCCAGGGGAGCAAAGCGGG